UUCCUUUUGUAAUGAGACUUUCGUCAGGUUGCUUUUAGGAUCUUUCAUUAGUGUUCUACAGUUUCACUAUGAUGUGUCUAAGUGUGAAUUUUAUUUAUACUGGUUGAGAUUCAUUGGCCUUCUGAUUCUGAAAUGGCUUUUGUCUUGCAUUAGUUCUAGAAAAUUAUCUUUUUGGAUAAUUCUUCCUGGUUCAUUGGUGGUUGUUGGUUGGUUUUUUGUUUUUUUUUUUUUAGUUUCCCAAGAAAACCUCCCUCCCUUUCAUAGUUUUGAUCUCUGCCACCUGUGCUGCAUUGCAUUUUGCCUAAUUUCCUCAGAUCUUUCUUCCAGUUUGUUAAUGAUCUGGUCAACUGUGUCUAAUUUGCUCUUAAACCUCCAUUGAGUUUCUUCUUUCAAUUAUUUUUCUUUUCAUCUUUGAUGGUUUAUUUUUCUUUUACCAUUUUUCAAUGCCAACUUGUAUUCUUUAAACUUAUUUUAUAUUCUAUUUUGAAUCCAUCUACUUCUGUGCCACCACCAUUCUUGCCCAGCUGGUAGAUGUGUGGACAAAGGAAGAGGUACAGGUAUCUUUCGAGUAUCCUAAAGAGGUCAUGUGGGAAGUAAAUCUGCUUCCAGUACCACUGCUAACACAGGAGCAAUCCCAAAUUGGAUUCACCUCUGCAGUAAAAAGGCUUUAAUCAGGUGUGUGUCUAGAAGAAAGCAUCAGCAUAGCAAUAUCACCAGCCAGACUCUCCACAGCUUUCUAAAGUGAACAUGGCAAGACUAAAACAUUCUGCUGAGUCCUGAAAGGCUUCCUUUGGUAUAUAUAUUUAAGAAGGUAUUGGUUAAAGCCAUUCCCCAUUGCUAAACUUUAUGUUAUCAAAUUGAGGAAAAUAUGGACCUUUCUAAAGUUACCAAAUUAAAAAAAUCACCUUGAUGGAAAACAAGGAAGGUUUUUUUUUUUCUCUUUCAUGUUGCAUUUUUAAGUAAAAUGAAACAGAAAUCAGAUUUAAAUAAAAGGAAUGAUUGAGAAUGUUGGCUAGUCUUUGAAAUGUUGUUAUUGACCUUAGUGUUCAAUUCCUUUAUCAUGUGAAAUUGAUUUAGUGUAAUUGAAAUGUUCCAAUUUUCUUUACUUAGAGUGUCUUGGAUAUUGCCUUCAGAAAUGCAAAAAUCAAAGAAUUACUGUCUUGUUUAUUCCACCUCCCAUCCCCACUCAAAUCCAUACUUCUUAUCACUACUGAUUCCGUAACUUAGACCCCAAACCUUCAUAUUUUCUUCCCUGUCCUUUUGCUCCCCUAGUCGAAACAAUUUCCCUCUUAAUAAUAACUUAGUGGUUAAGCACUAGGUUUGAGUCCUUUGCCAGUUAAUAAAUUUUUAUGGCCUUGGGCAAGUUACUUAACCUCUCUAAAGACUUUUUCUAGUACUUAUUUUGUAGGUUUAUGGGAUUAAAUGAAACAAAUUCAUGUAAACAACACAGUGCCUGCACUCAAUACGUGUUAGCUACCACUCAC